rnacentral:tRNA from 1 species
GGGGCGGUAGCUCAGUUGGCAGAGCACCUCAAUCGCAAUGAGGAGGUCAGGGGUUCGACUCCCCUCCGCUCCACCA